AACGAACGCUGGCGGCAUGCCUAACACAUGCAAGUCGAACGAGACCUUCGGGUCUAGUGGCGCACGGGUGCGUAACGCGUGGGAACCUGCCCUUAGGUUCGGAAUAACUCCCCGAAAGGGGUGCUAAUACCGGAUAAUGUCUUCGGACCAAAGAUCUAUCGCCUUUGGAUGGGCCCGCGUUGGAUUAGCUAGUUGGUAGGGUAAAAGCCUACCAAGGCGACGAUCCAUAGCUGGUCGGAGAGGAUGAUCAGCCACACUGGGACUGAGACACGGCCCAGACUCCUACGGGAGGCAGCAGUGGGGAAUAUUGGACAAUGGGCGAAAGCCUGAUCCAGCAAUGCCGCGUGAGUGAUGAAGGCCUUAGGGUUGUAAAGCUCUUUUACCCGGGAUGAUAAUGACAGUACCGGGAGAAUAAGCACCGGCUAACUCCGUG
rnacentral:rRNA from 1 species